GGAACCGUGGUGAAAGUAGCAGCGGCAUUGCGGGCAAAUAGAGAGAUAUGGGCAGCAGUUGAGAUGAUUGAAUUCUUGGAGAAGGAAGGCUGCCCUGUCGGAUUUGAGAGCUAUGAGCUGGUGCUUGAGGGGUGUUUGGAGUGCAAAGAAUAUCUUUUGGCUGGAAAAGUGGUGAUGAGAAUGACAGAGAAAGGGUUUAUACCUUAUAUCAAGGCCAGACAAAAGGUGAUAGAGGGG
rnacentral:misc_RNA from 1 species